UUUUUUUAUCUUAUAAGUAUAUAAAUGAAAAUAUUACGAAAUAUUACAUUCUAAAAUUAAUUUCCCACAGCUUAUAAAUAUACGCCUACCAUAUUUUAUUUUAUAUUUUUAUUCGUGUGCUAUAUGCUGUGCACAAUUUGCAAGUAUCAUAAAAACCUGCUGUAAUAAUCUCCUUAUCCUCGAAGAAGGGGAUACAAAAUGAC